UUUCAAAAGACAUAAAAUUUCAAAGUGUCUAGUCUUCCCACAAAAGAUUGUUUUUGAGUUUUUGAUUAUAAUUAUAUUAUUAUUGGUUGCUGUUAUUUUAAUUCGUAAAUACAAUGCUCAUAGUGGAAUACUGGGCAAAAAUCAUCAAUCCAUCACAUAAAUGCCCUCCAGUACGUUCCGCUAUUUUUACAACGCCUUUAAAUUUUACAGCCUGCCUGAUGGUCAAACAUUAUUUUUCCCGAUUGACUAUGGUUAUCUUUAUAAAUGAGAGUUCCGCAUAUUUUUUUCUUUUAAUCCUAAAUUUGUUUUUGAGCACAUUACCAAUUUUUAUGCUGAUCGUUUCGAAAUAUUUUGCCAGGGCAAACAUCAUUUCUCACUUGAAGAUUUGCACACAGAUAGUCCGUAUACCAAUUAGUAGUACUGUACCCUCUUAUCCAGGUCCAUGAUAGUACUGUUCUCAGUAAUAUGUUUCAAUUUCUAUAUGACAGCUGAUGUGUGACAUGUCUUAGGCCCUACUGUAUAAAUAUAUAUGCUUGACACCGAUGAUGACAUCAUAAGUGUAUGUCUACGAACGACGCAUUGCCUGUUAUGAGCUAUAAUUAAAUUAAACCUUUAAUUCCAUAUCUAUAUUCUUCACAUGUGAAUUUGUAAUUAAUUUUUAGUAACUUUAAACUAAGUUCGAAUGAGAAAAAAUAUUCCCCGAUAUUAAAAAGUAAAUAUUAACUUUCCUGUAUUCAAUUAUAGAUCCUGUAAUUGACUCAAUUAUCUUUAUAUUUAUUAUAACAUUGCAAAUUUCAAUAAUAGAUUUAAUAAGGAAGAGCCCUCAACCGAUGGUAUUGUUACAACUAAAACUGUCUUUCAAACUGUCGGUGAGGAUUACAGCAUAUGGGAGGAGCAGAAAGAUGCAGACGAGAUUGAACGAACUAAACAGAUACGCGAACACGCUAUCGCUACGAAUGUAGCAAAGACGUUCGAUUUCACUGCUUCUACGUCCUCAUCUGAUCGUGGAAGGAUAGCAUUUCCAUCUACGUCCGCAUCUCCUCUCGAAGGAACAUCAGCUGCAUCUGUAUCAGAAAUUGAUCCCAGAAAAAAGUCAUCUUUAUCCCCUGUGUUUAUCAGACGGUUUAAAGAAGAAACUAUAUCUGAAGACACGGGAGAAUCUAUCGGUCUGCUUCAUGAAAUGGGAGUAUCGACCAAUCAACUUAAUGAAAUGCGCAAGAAAGUCAUCGACAAACUUGCCAACAAGAGU